rnacentral:rRNA from 1 species
GGUUCGAUCAUGGCUCAGAUUGAACGCUGGCGGGAUGCUUUACACAUGCAAGUCGAACGGCAGCACGGACUUCGGUCUGCGGCGAGUGGCGAACGGGUGAGUAAUGUAUCGGAACGUGCCUAGUAGCGGGGGAUAACUACGCGAAAGCGUAGCUAAUACCGCAUACGUACCCUUCGGGGAAAGCGGGGACCUUCGGGCCUCGCACUAUUAGAGCGGCCGAUAUCGGAUUAGCUAGUUGGUGGGGUAACGGCUCACCAAGGCGACGAUCCGUAGCUGGUUUGAGAGGACGACCAGCCACACUGGGACUGAGACACGGCCCAGACUACGGGAGGCAGCAGUGGGGAAUUUUGGACAAUGGGGGAACUCCUGAUCCAGCCAUCCCGCGUGUGCGAUGAAGGCCUUCGGGUUGUAAAGCACUUUUGGCAGGAAAGAAACGGCACGGGAUAAUACCCCGUGCAACUGACGGUACCUGCAGAAUAAGCACCGGCUAACUACGUGCCAGCAGCCGCGGUAAUACGUAGGGUGCAAGCGUUAAUCGGAAUUACUGGGCGUAAAGCGUGCGCAGGCGGUUCGGAAAGAAAGAUGUGAAAUCCCAGAGCUUAACUUUGGAACUGCAUUUUUAACUACCGAGCUAGAGUGUGUCAGAGGAGGUGGAAUUCCGCGUGUAGCAGUGAAAUGCGUAGAUAUGCGGAGGAACACCGAUGGCGAAGGCAGCCUCCUGGGAUAACACUGACGCUCAUGCACGAAAGCGUGGGGAGCAAACAGGAUUAGAUACCCUGGUAGUCCACGCCCUAAACGAUGUCAACUAGCUGUUGGGGCCUUCGGGCCUUGGUAGCGCAGCUAACGCGUGAAGUUGACCGCCUGGGGAGUACGGUCGCAAGAUUAAAACUCAAAGGAAUUGACGGGGACCUGCACAAGCGGUGGAUGAUGUGGAUUAAUUCGAUGCAACGCGAAAACCUUACCUACCCUUGACAUGUCUGGAAUCCCGAAGAGAUUUGGGAGUGCUCGCAAGGAGAACCGGAACACAGGUGGCUGCAUGGCUGUCGUCAGCUCGUGUCGUGAGAUGUUGGGUUAACCUGCAACGAGCGCAACCCUUGUCAUUAGUUGCUACGAAAGGCACUCUAAUGAGACUGCCGGUGACAAACCGGAGGAAGGUGAUGAUGUCAAGUCCUCAUGGCCCUUAUGGGUAGGGCUUCACACGUCAUACAAUGUGGUCGGGACAGAGUGGUCGCCAACCCGCGAGGGGGAGCCAAUCCCAGAAACCUCGAUCGUAGUCCGGAUCGCAGUCUGCAACUCGACUGCGUGAAGUCGGAAUCGCUAGUAAUCGCGGAUCAGCAUGUCGCAGAAUACGUUCCCGGGUCUUGGCCACACCGCCCGUCACACCAUGGGGAGGGGUUUUACCAGAAGUAGUUAGCCUAACCGUAAGGAGGGCGAUUACCACGGUAGGAUUCAUGACUGGGGUGAAGUCGUAACAAGGUAG